rnacentral:lncRNA from 1 species
CUUAUGGCUGAUUUACACUGUUAUAUGGCAGAAAUCAAUGCAACGUUGUGAAGCAAUUAUCCUCCAACUAAAAAAAAAAGUCUUAAGUUCAGUAAACCAUGCCUGUUGUCUUUUUCCAGUGGCUUCCUACCCUGUCUGGUUGCAAAUCUUCAGAAAAAAAGGAAGUUACCCAAGUGACCAUUGGCAUUUCUGUCCUCCUUUUCCUUCUAUUCCUGUUCUGCUCCUAGUUUUGUCUGCUCCUGGUUUCUCUGUUCAUAUUUUCCUGUUAAUACUUAUUUUACUUGUUUUUUACCUUUUUCCUUGUAUCUUAUGUAGCUUUUGCUGCUUCACCACAUUUCCUUUGAGUGUUUUACUCGUCAGUUGGACUAUUCCUUUGAGCUUCUUCUCUUCUAUCUCUCUUCCCCCAAAUAGUAGGGAUAGGGCGGGGGAGACAGGACACUGGGAGCUUCCAGCAGUCUCUUGACUUAGAUCAUGACACCAGGAGGUCUGAGUUCACACUAGUAUAAUCUGCUAAAAACAUAACUAGGUCUAUUGAACAUGACAAGAAUACCCCAGUUCAGAUAACCGUCCCAUUCUGGGGCACACUCACUUUCAUUUCUGGGUAGUCGUGCACAAAGCUUUCUUUUUCAUUUCUUCCCAACAAAUAUCCACCAAGUGUGUAAAUGUGUGUUUAAGAUUAGCUUGUUGUUGUUCAGUCAUUCAGUCAUGUCUGACUCUGCAACCCCAUGAACUGUAACAUGCCAGGCUUCCCUGUCCUUCACUAUCUCCCAGAGUGUGCUCAAACUCUAUUAAGUCUGUGAUGCCAUCCAACCAUCUCAUCCUCUGUUGCCCCCUUCUCCUCCUGCCCUCAAUCUUUCCCAGCAUCAGGGUCUUUUCCAAUGAGUCACCUCUUUGCAUCAGGUGGCCAAAGUAUUGGAGUUUCAGCUUCAGCAUUAGUUCUUCCAGUGAAUAUUCAGGGUUAUUUCCUCUAGGAUUGACUUAUUUGAUAUCCUUAAGGCCAGCUGCCCAGGCUCUAUUCCAGCUGUGGGUCUUCCUUGUGGAACUGGGACCUGGUUGAUGAUUCAGUCGGAGGUAGAGGCUCCUCAUGUUACCAAAAACUAUAUAUGCCUUUCAAUGGGUUUUGAACCAAGAGAUACCAACUAAGCCAAAGAUAAGAGAGAAGGGAGGAUGUAUUACCUGAAGCAAACGAGAACAUUAACUACCUUUCCCAAUGCAAUGUCUCCCCAGACAGCAAAACUGGGGAAGAUUUAAGCUGAGGGUAUAUGCAUAUUCAUGAGGAGGCUUGAGCAGAGGAGAAUUCAGCAUAGAAUUGGGGCAAAGGUCAAUAUAGUCCAAGCUUUAAUUGAUUGAAGUCAGAAUGGUCAACAUCAUCAUUCUACCCUCUACAUGGGUGAGGGCCUUAGCUGCUGCAGAACUCAAAGACUGUAUCAAAUGGUUGCUGUUUUUGUUCAGUCGCUGUCAUGUCUGACUCUGUGACCCCAUGGACUGCAGCACAACAGGCUUCCCUGUCCUUCACUCUCUCCCAGUUUGCUCAAACUCAAGUCCACUGAGUCUGUGAUGUCAUCCAACCAUCUCAUCCUCUGUCGCCUUCUUCUCCUCAUGCCAUUAAUCUUUCCCAGCAUCAUGGUCUUGUUGUGUAUAUAUUCUUGAGGAAGAACUAGGACUCUGUUUUACUGCUGAAGUACUGUUUUAUUUAUUUUUAAAUAUUUAUUUAUUUGGCUGCACAGGGUCUUAGUUGUGCAACGGGGGAUCUUUAGUUGCGUUAUGUGUGAUCUAUUUCUCUGACCAAAGAUCAAACUCUGGCUCCUGGCAUUGGGAGCAAGGAGUCUUAGAUGCUAGACCAAAAGGGAAGUCCUGAAUUAUUGUUUCUUGACUGUUUUUCCUUUGAUCCUGAAUUCCCUUGCUCCCCAGAAAAUCACUGAUUACGAAGACCUGGUCAAGCACAAGCACUGUGAUCUGCCUUGGGUCAAAAAAUGGCUUCUAUUAUGUUAAGAAAGCUAUGCCUAGUUCACUUACCCCAGGGACCCCAUAUAUGCUUACAAUGACCCUUUCUGAUAUUAGUCUCUCCUAACUAAAUCAGGAUUUGUUUUUUGUUUUACAACAUAAACCCUGACAUAGAAUGUAAUUCCUUUUCCUUCAUUUUGCACUACAAAGUGUUGAUGCCUUCAGUAGGUUUUCCUGAAAAUUGAAGAAGACUAAGAGGAUUCAUCUUGCAGCCAGACAACUGAAUUAAAAUGCCAGUGAUGCUCUUCAGUUCAGUUCAAUUCAGUCGCUCAGUCGUGUCCAACUCUUUUCGACCCCAUGAAUCGCAGCACACCUGGCCUCCCUGUCCAUCACCAAAUCCCAGAGUUUGCUCAGACUUAUAUCCAUCGAGUCAGUGAUGCCAUCCAGCCAUCUCAUCCUCUGUCGUCCCCUUCUCCUCCUGCCCCCAAUCCCUCCCAGCAUCAGAGUCUUUUCCAAUGAGUCAACUCUUCCCUUGCAGUCCAAGGGACUCUCAAGAGUCUUUUCCAACACCACAGUUCAAAAGCAUAAAUUCUUCGGUGCUCAGCCUUCUUCACAGUCACAUCCAUACAUAACUAUUGGAAAAACCAUAGCCUUGACUAGACGGACCUUAGUCGGCAAAAGUAAUGUCUCUGCUUUUAAAUAUGCUAUCUAGGUUGGUCAUAAUUUUUCUUCCAUGGAGUAAGUGUCUUUUAAUUUCAUGGCUGCAGUCACCAUCUGCGGUGAUUUUGGAGCCCCCCCAAACAAAGUCUGACACUGUUUCCACUGCUCUUGGAUCCUGACAAUUUGGAGCUCCAGCUUGAAUGCUUUGUUUUCUUGAUUCUCCUCUCAUUCUCCCACACCCUAAUCCCUUUGCAUUUCUUAUUCUGAACCAAGUUAUUUAUUUUGCUUUUACGUUUCAUUCAUACCCUCUAGGAUUCCCACACCCAUGUGCUUGCAAAUUUUUUGAGGACAGAAGAAGAAAACCAGAUCUUUCCUAAAACAAAUGUUUAACUGGAGAUGGACACCACUAUGACUACAUAGUAGAACAGUUUAUGCGCAAGGGACAAUCUAUGCACAAGGGGAGAUGCCCACCCCACGUGCUUCUGGGCCUGCUCUACAACUAAGCAGCUUAAUGAUCUUACUCAAGUCACUUAUUUUUUCCAUGGUGUGAAAGAAUAAGGAACUAAUGGCUUCAAAUAUUCCUUUCAAUUCCAAGAUUCCAUUAAUCAUUUAAUCUAAACAAAAUGAAGGUUCAAAAAAGAAAGAAAUGUCUUGAAUAAAAAUGGUCUUGAAAAGAAGUAGGCACAGGAAUGAGAGAAAUGUUUACAGAGGGCUCACAGACAAGGAGGUGUGGGUAUGAGCAGAGUUUGUAGUGGAAAGAGCAUGAGUUUGGAGGAGAUAAUGGUUUGGAUUUUAAUUGAUCUCCUUAAGCUUCAAUUCUAAUAGAAAAUGGUAAAUCAAUUUUGUUUUGUUUCUUUUUUUGGUAAGAAUUCCAAAGAAUUGGUAAGGUGAGAGUAUUUUAUAUCAUUUUAGUGAGGUUUUGCCAUGGUUCUCUGCUUAAAUGUCUUCUGUGAAUGUCUUCUUUUCUAACAUUCCUUAUUUA